UGGUGGAGUGAUUUGUCUGGUUAAUUCCGUUAACGAACGAGACCUCGACCUGCUAAAUAGUUGAGCACACGCCUUCAAGCGUGUGGACUCCAACUUCUUAGAGGGACUAUUGUCGAUUAGACAAUGGAAGUUCGAGGCAAUAACA
rnacentral:rRNA from 1 species